GUUUCCGGGAUCUGGCGGGGCCUUUGUCUUGUGCUCCAGCUGGAGCUUUGGUCCCGUAUUCUCGGCUAUUUAUCCCCAGCUGCGGGAGGCCCUGGUGACUCUGCUGCUGCAGUGUCUGGUUUCCCUGUGACCUGCAGGUACUGGGAGUUACAUAGCUAAGAUGCCAGGACACCCCGAAAGCCGGAAAACGAGACGCAUUCUCACUAUGUUGCCCAGGCUGGUCUUGAACUCCUUCCCUCAAGUGAUUCUUCUGCCUAAUCCUCCCAAAGUUCUUAGAUUACUCAUGAAUGGAUUGGUGUUCUUACCACUGCAGUUAGUGUGUUCUCUGUUAGUUCAUGUGAAAGCUGGUUGUUAAAAACAAAAACAAACAAACAAAAAACUGAUAUUCCUCUUGCUUUGUCUUUUGCCAUGAUACCCCUUUGCCUUUUAUUAUGCAUAAAAGCUUCCUGAGGCCUCAUCAGAAGUUAAGCAGAUGUUGAUGUCAUGCUUGUAUAGCCAACAGAACUGAGGCUAAUAAACCUCUUUUCUGUAUUAAUUUGCCAGUGUUAAGUAUUCCCUUCUAGCAGCACAAAAUGGACUAACAUCCCAUAGGUUAUAUUUUUAUUUUUUUCUUUUGUAAAUACUGGACAAUGAUACUCUUAUAUAAUCUUCAGUAUAACCAUUAUAAUUGCCCACUAUAAAGGAGUAUAAUGAAAGGCCAUGUAUUUUGAAUCACGAAUGACUAUUUACAAAAUGUCAUACUACGUUUUUCUUUGAGCCUGUGACCCCUCUGGCCUGUAAAAACACAUACAUACAUUUAGUUUUGAUUAACAUGGAGUUAAUUUUAUAAGUCUGUCACUCUAAACAUAAGUGUUAGCUUUAAGAGAAUUACAGAGCAUGUAAUUGUGUUUGAGUGUAGGUGUGUACUUUUUUGAGAAGAAAACAAAAAUAUUGGAACAAAAUAUAAUUUAAAAAGUAUUGGUAAUUUACUAGCAAACUAGGAAUCUCAAAGAUUCUGAAAGUAAAUAUUUAUUCUCUGCUUUGUAUUGAAUUUACUUCUGUAAAAUCUUAUGGCUGCUGGCUCAGAAUCUUCUCAUGCAAAUCCUGUUUUUUUCUUGUCUGUUGAUCAUACUAAACCUAAUGUAUAGUUUUCUCAUUCCAAAGUUCAUGAAAUUUUCUCUAUAUUCCUGAGAAAUUCUAAGAAUAACUUUCAUAAAAUGUAUUGAUGUUCACAAGAUAAUUUUAAGAUGUAAUUCUACAAUAUGUGUGUUACUACAUUUUAUUUAAUUAGUAUAUUUUAUUUUUGUAUUUCAAUUGGAGAACCCUAUUUUGGCCAAUUUUUACUUGGUUUUUGUUUCCAUUUUAAUAUUUUACAUAAUUGAAUUUUUUUCACUUUAUUGAGCCAUUUUGUUUAGAUGUACACUGGGAAGGCUUCAUAAUUCACAAAGUUGUUUUGACAUAUAAAUGAGGUGAACAAACACAGGAAAGUGCUAGGUUUCCUGGGGGUAUAAUAGAUGCUCUAUAAUUAGCAGUAAAUAUUCUUGUUUAAGUCACUUUUUGGCUACAAGUAAGAGAUUAGAAAUAUUCAGCAUAAAGAGAUGGCAUUAACUCUGCAUGUAAAGAAAACACAUGUAUACCCAGGCUGUACAACUGCCUCUGAAAUUAAGAGGAAUUGUGUUUAUUUCAUAGUUAUCUCUGGUACUUCACUGUUAUUUUAUUUUCACCCCCAACUAUGCGUCAAUCAUAGCCCUUUCCCUUCUUUGCUUAUUAUGGCUACAGAUUUCUCACUGUUCUCUGCAGCCCAUGUAAUUUCAUACAGUAUUUUGUAGGUUGUGAUAAGGAAUUUGAAAUUUUUAAUAUAGUGAAAAAUUGGAUUUAACUGGAGAGUUUGAGGACAUUUUUAAGUUAGAAAUGCACCAUUUGAAUCAUUUAAUUGGCAUAAUUGGGAUGUACUCUACACAGUUUAUAGGAUUAAAUUACUGAGUUAGUAAUGUUUGUAUGAAAGAAAUGUUAUUAGAUUCUACCACAAAAUAUAGUAAACAUGAAAUCAGUUAGAAUAGGUAAAGCAUUAAUAAUGGUAGGCUAUAUAUCAUAAUCACUAUAUAAAGAAACAUCAGAAUUUGGAAACCCCUUAAGCAAAAAUAUAUCUUAGAAAUCUUAAGGACACUUAAUGGCAAGCAAAAAAGUUUAAAUUUAGUUUUUUAUAAAUUACAUAUAGCACAAUUUAUGUGUACAUGUAGAAUCUUUUAGUUUUUAGUGUUUAUGUAAUAUAUUAGACAAUAAUAAACAUUUACAUUUAUGUUUACAUUUAUAUUUAAUUUUUCAAAUUUAAUUUAAAUUUCUAAAUGCUUCUGUGGAUUUAAAUUUUGGAAUAAUCUUUUCUUCCCCAUUGAUACUGGAAUCUUGGGAAGUUUCUUACUCAUAUCACAAUAUGUUUUAUUUAAAUGGAUGCAGCUUACAUUGCAGAGUUUAUAUAAAUAAUCACAUAACAAGCCAAUUCCUUAGUCAUUUUCUGUAUUAAAAAACUCAGAGAUCUAGAGAGCUUUUGGAUUGAAAUAUUUCCUUGGUGAUUUUGGAUGCAAACCUGAUUUCUGUGUUCACACCAUGGCCAGAGAUGGGACUGUUAGCACCACCUGCUUCUUUAAUGUCGUCCAUAUGAUCAGCAUCAGCACCAGAAACUCCAGGUGUCCCAAACUUAAAGUGAAAGCCAUAGAGUCCUUUGGUGACUCCCAUGUUCUGUGCUGGUUCUAGAACAUGCUGGUAAAUAUCAGAGUUUCUAUGCUUAUGGCUGAUAAGUAGACAUUUUUAAAAAUCAUAAAAACUGUAUUUUCUAUAUAGUUCAGCUAAGUUUAUGAAAAAGAUGCAGACUCAGUAUUUGGAGCAUUGCUAUCGCUCCAUGAUGUGUUUAAAAAUUAUUUUUAAAUUGACAAAAUUUUAUAUCUACAUAUAUAUAUAUCUUGUAACACAUGAUGUUUGAAAUGCUUAAUUCUAGCCAAUUAAAAAUGCUUUACCUCAAUAGUUAUUUUUAUUGUGAGAAAGGUCAACAUGGUCUUGGCACUUAAAAAAAAAAAAA
rnacentral:lncRNA from 1 species